CACGUAGGGGGCGAGCGUUGUCCGGAAUCAUUGGGCGUAAAGGGCGUGUAGGCGGUUAAUUAAGUCAGGUGUGAAAGCCCGGGGCUUAACCCCGGGAUUGCACCUGAAACUGGUUAACUUGAGGGCAAGAGAGGGAAGCGGAAUUCCUAGUGUAGCGGUGAAAUGCGUAGAUAUUAGGAGGAACACCAGUGGCGAAGGCGGCUUCCUGGCUUGACCCUGACGCUGAGGCGCGAAAGCGUGGGGAGCAAACAGG
rnacentral:rRNA from 1 species